rnacentral:lncRNA from 1 species
UUUUUUUUUUUUUUUUUUUUUAAGUAUAAAAUUUAGACUCCAUUUCCCUCAUAAAGCCACUGGGCCCUGACUGGACAACAGUGACAGUCUGAUUCCUCUGAUUCUAAAACAGAUUUUAAACCUGAUAGUAACUCACCAUGUUGGGGUAAAAUGUAUAUUACACAUGGUUACAUGAACUUUGUUUUUUAAAGGUUGAUACCCUCUUUAGUUUAUGAGAGGUACAUUGUAAGGGGCUGCAUUUAUCUGAAUUUCACCUUCAGCUGGUCCCACAGCUGCCCGAGGUCAGAAAGUUUCCCAUGAUCCAUUUUUUGAUUCUGAAUUGACAAACUUGGAAGCAGGUGAAUGAACUGUAUCAGCCUCCUGGACCUUGAAGUUGACCGACCACUAAUAGCCUAUGUUAGUACGUUAGGGAAACCUUUUAAUUGUACAUGAAGAUUUGCUGUUACAUUUUGACUGUAUUUUGGGGGCUUCUGGAAACCAUGCUAUUUUCCUUGUAAACUGCCCUUGUCUUCCUCAGUGGAAGGAGAGUUGAGGUGUCUAUGUAGGGGAUGUGUUACUGGGACUUUAUCUAUCUGCCUCUCUUUAGCAGUGUAGGUGGCUCCCAGCAUCUGUGUUGUGGGUACAUGAGGUCAGGGAAGGAUACUUAGCAGCCUCUGGAAGAGAUGGACUUCUUGGCAAAUAUUUAUUGAAUUAUGAUAGAGGCAGACAUGGAAAACCAGUUCAGAGCUUGGCCUUUAGAUGCCUCUUAUCCUGGAAAUAAAAUUAUUUUCACUGUGAGAGAGAGGGCCUUGGACCAAAGCUUCCUGAGGACUUGAAUAUAUUUUUUCUCACUCUCUUUUAUUAAUCCUGUCACUAAUGCAGUACCUGAAUACAGAUUAAAAGCUUUAGGAGGCCUUCAAUAGGCAGGACUCAGAACCAUUCCCCCUCUCGCAAGCCAAAAAGUAUUUCUGGGGGACAGAAUAUCAGGAAAUUGUUAACAGUAGGUAAGCAUUAUCUAGAUGGGAAUUUUGGGAAAGCUCACAGACACAUUUACUUGGCACCUAUGACCAAAGACUUAUAUUGAAGACCCCAUUCACUGGUUUGAUUGACCUCAGAAGCUCUGAGAAAGAUGUUAGGAGCUCAGUAUCAACAGUGGAAACAGGUAUUGGGUUUGAGCAAUGGUCCUCUAUACUAGGGAUGAUUUGUGUGUGUGUGUGUGUUUGUGUGUGUGUGUAAACUCAAAAAUGUUCUGUGUUAUCAUUUGGCCUAAGGAAGAUAAAGGAAAAGACGUCACUAACAAGUAUAAAUCUUGGUGGGAACAAGGGGACCCCCUUUUAAAAUUUGAAUGUCUCUGGUCCUGGGUCCACUAUAAAUAACCAUAUGUCAUGGUCAUGGUUGUGGUGCUGUCUCACACAGAAACUCUGUAGAGCAAAGUCUCCUGCAAAGCCAAAAAGAAAUCAGUCCCUUUCAUGCAACUGUAAUUCUUCCAUGACUUGAUUCACUUUAUAAUGUUCUGUUUGUGAAUUAUGAUGGUUCUCACUCCUUGUGUGAGAAUGUAUGAACUUUGGAAAUUUGAAUCUAUCCAAGUAAGCCACCUGUGGAUUUGGAGUUUUUGCAGAAGAGUUCUAAACUCAAAGCCCAGUCCACAGAUCUGGUUCUAAGCCUUCUUACUUGGGGUUUCCUCUGUACUUGUUCCAGACCACAUAGGUAAUAGCCUCGUUUCUGAGGGCAGCCUAAAACUUCUUCCCCUUAUAUCUUUUCUGACUUACCAUACUAUUUCGGUCUGUCCUGGUGCUAUGGCCUAUCACAAAGGACUGUUUUAAAAGAGAAACAAUCUACAGCCUUGGUGGACAAGUCCUCAACACCAGCAGUCAAGUGUGAACCCUGAGUCAUAGGAAGCAAGAGUCUCUAUUUGGGGGGACAAAGGAUGACACUGCCUAGUGAGAUGAUGCCACUAUUGCUGAUGGGGGUGCCUGUUCUCAGGAUGUGUGGAAACUCAGUCAUGACAGGUUUCUACAUGAUUUAGUCAACCUAACUGCAUUCCUCGCUUGGCAGAAUGGAGGUUAGCAAAUAGUGCUGGAAGGAUGAGGAUUUACCUUUGGGGUAAAUCAAAUCACGCAGCAGAUGACUCAAGGACCCCCAUACAAAGUUCAGACAAAGUUAAAACUGGACAGUUCCUUAUCUCCUUUUGUAAGAAGGCUCUACGGAAUUGUAGUUUGAAUGCUUCUUUUGAGAUUUUAAGUGCUCAUUUCUUCUUCCUUUCUUCCCUUUUUUGGUUGAAUAUUCUCUAAAGACAAUCAGAGGCCUGCCAGGGUGGGACUUCUGGCUGGUUCCAGCACUGUCCUUAGGCCUUUUUCUAAUACUAACUUAUUGGAACUGAUGCACUUUGUUUAUGCUUUUUUUUUUUUUUUUAAAGCUGCUUGUUUGGAAUGAAACAAAAUGCAUAUUGCAUUGUAUCCUUCCUGCUUGCUGUUCUUCUUUUAAUUUUAAAAGUUAUGCAUUGAGGAUAAAGUAUAACUAAGGAGAAAUAUGCACAAGAAUACCUAUUAAAAUAACUCCCAUCAAGUUUGAUGGGUAUAACUUCAAGGGAUUAAAAAAUAAUUAUUUUGGAUGAAUAUUUUGCGUGGGGUUUUUUGUAAAUAAGAGUGUAUAAUAACUUGUGGUAUAUUAUGACAGUUUUAAGUGGUUGUAAGAGAAUUAAAACAGGUCUUAAGCUAUGUUUAACUUCAUUUGACAGCAAAGAAGACAUCUUGGCCAGAGUAAAUUCUUCAAAACUCUUUCCAUUGGGGCCUCAGAAUCAUCUCUGAAGAGAGGAGAAAGUUCCUUUUUACUUCAAAAAAAAUGAAACUUUCCAGAAUUCUCCCCCCUCUCCUGCUGUCUGAUCUUUACCCUUUGGAUUUAGGUACUUUUGAAUUGCAUUUUAGGAAAGGUAGGAAGAGCAGAAUAUCCCCACAGCGACAUUGCUCCUGGCAUUGGGGAAUCUGCCCUGAUCUCGGAAGAAUGCUUCUUGUUUGCCUACAUUUGCCUUGGUACAGCAGCAACGGGCCUUAAGGAUCCCUUCACAUCUGGAUGAGCAAAGCAGUGCUUUGCAAAAACUUCAUUCUUCAGCUCUGUGUGCAACUUUCCUUAAGCUGCCUGUAUCUACAAGCAAUUAACAGUCUCCUUAUACUCAGCCCACAAUCUCUUCUGCUUUAAGUACAUAUCCUCUCGUUUGGUUCCCUCUGAACCCGAACUGUAACUGUUGAGCAUCCCCAUAAGACACCUUCUUAGACUUAAAGACAGUAAUGCAAUUUUCCCUUACCUAUUUAUUUUCUUAACCUGAUUUUCUGUAUUUUCCCAUGGUCAAUACUUGUGGAGAGUUUUAAAUUUUAUAAAUUAAAAUUCAGUUUA